AUUGAAACAGCAGUCCCUAAAAAUUACAAGUUGGUAGCUGCACCACUGUUCUAAUUGUAUGACCCUGCACCAGGAUAUGGGCCCAUCAUUUCUAGUCGUUGAGCAGGUUCAAUUUUAUAUACAACUGAAUACCUGUGGCAGCAGAGAAGGAAAAGAAGCCAUCUCUGCCAAAAUAGUGUUGAAGUGCUGACAGUCCUCUGUAGCUUUAGGAUUUUGACAAGAGCUUUGGCUACAGAAAACCAAAAGGGGUUUGAGCUCAAGAGCAGACGAGUGAGCAGCAGAAACAUUCCUGAGCACACAAGCCUCAAUUCUCAGAGCCUUUUGGAACAACUGGGUAAGUGGGUUCCACUUCCCAUC
rnacentral:lncRNA from 1 species